rnacentral:lncRNA from 1 species
UCUAGCUUCCCGGCUGCUUUGUUUACCCAAGCAAGCCUGGGCAAUGGCGGGCGCCCCUCCCCCAGCCUUGCUGCGGCCUUGCAGUUUGAUCUCAGACUGCUGUGCUAGCAAUCAGCGAGACUCCGUGGGCGUAGGACCCUCCUAGCCAGGUGCAAGAUAUAAUCUCGCGGUGCGCCGUUUUUUAAGCCGGUCCGAAAGCGCAAUAUUCGGGUGGGAGAGACCCGAUUUUCCAGUGAGAUGAACCCAGUACCUCAGAUGGAAAUGCAGAAAUCACCCGUCUUCUGCGUCGCUCACGCUGGGAGCUGUAGACCGGAGCUGUUGCUAUUCGGCCAUCUUGGCUCCUCUCCUGCACUGCAAGAAUGGACUAAUACGCUAUGUGAAGACAAAGGGGAUGUCUGCAAGCCAGGACGAGUGCGUCUACCAGAAACUGAGUUCUGCUGGACUUUGAUCUAGGACAUCCAGCCUCCAGAAUGGAAUGUGCCAUAUGUGGAGACCUGCAUGGAAAGGAACUGAGGAUGCUCUCUCACUAAAAGCUAGAAGGAACUGAGGCCCUCAGUCAACAGUCUACAAGACACUGAAUCUUGCCAGCAGCCAAGCAGUGAGCUUGAAAGCAGAUCUAUCAUCAGCUGAACCUUCAGAUGAGACCGCAGCCUAAGCAGAUACCUUGGUUGCAGCCAUGUGAGACAACCUGAAACAGAGGGCACAGCUAAGCCUCAGCCAGGUUCAUGACCCUCUGAGGAAACUGUGAGAAAGCAAAUGUCAUUUUAAGCUAUUUAAUUUUGGAGGUAGUUUAUUACACAACAAUAAAUAACUAUUAUAAUUAUCUUGAGGAUUUAUUUCCUGGGGAGAAUACAUGGAAUUGCAUAUAUAGGUCCUCAUAUGCAGAAUACUGGUACCCUAGAGAUGUUCACCCCAGAGAUGUUUUAGGAACCUGUGAAUAUGUUACAUUAAAUGGCAAAGUUUUCCUGGAUGGUUUAAGUUUAAGAUGGAAAAGUUUUACUGGAUUAUCCAGUGGGUCCAAUCUAGUAACAUGAGUCCUUAAAAAUGGAGAAUAUUUUUUGGCCAUGAUCAGAGAGACAUGUGAUGAUGGAAAAAGUGUCAGAGAUGCAAUGUGAGGGGACUAAAACUGCUGUUGCUGACUUUAAAGAUGGAGAGAGGGGAACCCGAGUCAAGGAAUGCAAAUGGCCUCUGGAAGCUGGAAAAAGCAAGAAAUGGAUUCUCCUUUAGAGCCUGUGGAAUAAAAUGCAGUCAUGCUGACACCUUGAUUUUACCUCAGUGAGACCAAUACUGGAGUAUGACCUUCGGAGCUGAAUAAAAUUAUACGUACACAUCUUAAUUUCUUGGGAUUUGAUUACUUCUUCUGCUUUGAAAUUAGACCAAGUUUAGCCUGCCUUUGCUAUUUUGGCGUAUCUCCAAUUCUUCAUGAUUUUCUCAUCGCAAAGGCCACAUAAGGACAGUGAGAAGGCAGCCACCUGCAAGCCAGGAAGAAAGGUCUCACCAGAUACCAACCCUGCCAGCAUGUUGAUCUUGGACUUCCAGCCUCCAAAACUGGCCUUCUGCUCACAUGGGCUUCCGUGCACCUGCUUCAGGAGACAGCAACACUUGCGCCCGCACCGCGGCAGGCUCCCAUCACCUGGUGGAUAUGCCGCGCCGAGUCUCAUCACACCUUAGUGAAGGAACACAUGGACCCAUAUGUUAGCGGAUGUAUUUACAUCGUUUUAUACAGAAAGGGGAAGAAAACUGCAUACCUCAGAAAGGGGUUGCUCCUCACUCUGAGUACUAGACUAAAGAUAAAAAGACUAGAUAAAAGUACUAGACUAAAGACAGAGCUGACCCAUGACAGGAAACCAAUACAGAGUUUUGUACUGGAAAGUGAGGUGCUGCUGUAACAAGUACCUGAGAAUGUGGGAGUGGCUUUGGAAUUCAGAAUUGGGUGCUUCUGGUGAAAACUCACAUGGAAAUGAGGAACAUGUUAUUGGAAACUGGAAGGUGUAUAUCUAGAAGUGUAAUUGCUGGAUCAUAUGGUUACUAUAUGUUUAACAUUUUGGGGAACUGCCAAACUAUUUUCCAAAGUGGCACAAAGGAGAAUAUAGGAAAAAAUGUAGUUGAAAGGUAAAUUGAUUUUAUUAAUGUUGAAUUUGGAGUGUUUACAAGACAUAAAGAAGGGUAUUUUCAGAAGAUUGAUAGCUAUAUGGGUCUUAUGCUUAGGGGAAUAGUAUGAGUUUGAGAAACAGGUCUUGGCAUCGUCAACAUGUACAAUUAAAGAUGUGAGAAACCAACAGCUCACCCAAAGAAAGUAGACAUUACCACAAGGAAGACUUACAUAUCUAAGGUCAAUUCAGAUAGCAUGCAUACACUGUGUGAUGGAGGGCAGGAAAGGUGGAGAUUAAUUAGGACUUGGCAGGCAAUUGAUCAGAAUUUUUUUUCCCAUAGCAAGAAGAUUUGCUUCGUGGGAGGAUUUCACUGGGCAGAGCUGGACAUACAGAGAGCAGAGAAGGACAUUCCCACAUAGAAUCUUAAAUCUUGAAUGCUAGGGAAGAGCCUACUAAGCGGAAAAGUGUGGGAAAGGCUUCCAAACAUGGGAAAUGGCAUAUAUAAAGGCAUAGUUGUUCAAAAUGUCUUCAUUUGAACUUCAGGAUAAUUAAACAAUUAGCAUCCAUUUGUUUGUCAGUCUGUGCCAGCAUUUUAUUAGGUGCUGCACACAAAUUAUCUCAUUUAAACCUUACAACAAUCUUCAUUCUAGAGAUGAGGAAACAGACACAAAGAUGUUAUAUUAACUAGCUAUCAAAGAUGACAUAGCUGGAAAAUGGUAAAGUCUUGGUAAAACCCAGGGAGUUUGAGACUAGAGCCUGCACCUGACAUGUGAAGCAACUCAUCGAAAUAAUUUUAAGUAUUAAAGACCAUUAGUCAGCACCAGUGGUGUGCUCCUGGUAGCUGAUAAGGCGCUCCCAAUCUUGGUACCACUUGAUGAUCUAGUGGCUUACUUGAUAUGUUUUUCAUUGUUCUUUUUCUUUUCUUUUCUUUUCUUUUCUUAGAUGGAGUCUUGCUCUGUCACACAUGCUAGAGUCCAGUGGUAUGACCUCAGCUCACUGCAAUCUCUGCCUCCCGGGUUCAAAUGAUUCUUCUGCCUUGACCUCCCUGGCAGCUGGGACUACAGGCCUGCACCACCACGCCUGGCAAAUUUUUUAAUUUUUUUUAGUAGAGAUGGGGUUUCACCAUGUUGGCCAGGCUAGUCUCGAACUCCUGACCUCAAAUGAUCUGCCCGCUUUGGCCUUCCAAAGUUCUGGGAUUAUAGGAGUGAGCCACCAUGCCCAGCCUGUUCUUAAGUCUCCUAGAACAGGGAUUCUGAAACACAAAACUCAUCUGGUGAGAAGAAUGAGAGCAAGAGAGGUUAAAUGGGUCGUUCAAGUUCAUAAAGUACUGACAGAAGAUGACCCUGAACUGUUCUCACUAUAUUAAAAGUCAGACAAGUAUUAUUAUUAUUAUUACUAAUAUAAGUAGCUCCAAUUUAUGUGAUUCUCAUGAUUUGGAGGACCUUACCUAUAUUAGCUUAUUUAAUCUACACAGCAAACCUAGAUGGUAAAUAUUUUCAUUGCCAUUUUACAGAGGAGGAACUGAGGUUCCUGAGGGUUAGGAAACUUGUAACAUGAACUCCAUACAGAUAUACAGAAUGAUAUAAACAAAUAAACAAAUACAUAAAUGUGGAAGAAGUAAAAGCUCUUCCUUGGAGUAAAAGGCCACCUAAUAAAUGAGGCAGGAAUGAUAAAAUUAGAGAAAUCAUUUGCAAACAUCACAGUAUUAAUUGCUUAAAGGAAGAAUUAUAAAUAGAUAAUAAAGCUAGUGGGUGAAACAUUAAUGGGACUAAGAUAUUUAUCUAGCCCCAAAAGUUUUGCUCCAUAAAAAUACUUACUUAGGCUGGGCAUGGUGGUGCACACCUGUAAUUCUAGCACUUUGGGAGGCCGAGGUGGAAGGAUUACUUGAGCUUAAGAGUUCAAUGGCAGCCUGGACAACAUAGUGAGACCGCAUCUCUAAAAAAAAAAUUAGCCAGGUGUGGUAGUGCGUGUAUGUAUUCUCAGCUACUCAGGAGGCUGAGGUAGAAGGGAUCGCUUGAGCCCCAAGUUGAGGCCACAGUGAGCUGAGAUUGCACCACUGCACUCCAGCCUGGGUUACAGAGAGUGAUCCUGUCUCAACAAUAAAAUAAAAUAAAAUGAAAAAAAUAUUUAUUACAAAUGAAAAAAAUGACAUGUUUACACUGGAGAGGCCUACAGGCAUCAUCUUAACCAAUGAUCAAAGUUAAUAUCUACACGAAUAGGACAAAUAAUAUCAUUUCCCUCCUGACCUCAUGCAUGUUUAAAACACAACAUAACUUCUUGGUUAUUUCUGUCAAGAGUGCAUAACCUGAAACUAAUCAUAAGAAACCACCAGAUGACCCCACGAUGAGAGGUAUACUAAAAAAUAACUAAGCUAUUAUUUUAUUUUAUUUAUUUUUUGAGACAGAGUCUUGCUCUGUUGCCCAGGCUGGAGUGCAGUGGCGCAAUCUCAGCUCACUGCAACCUCAGCCUCCUGGGUUCAAGAGAUUCUCCUGCCUCAGCCUCCCAAGUAGCUGGGAUUACAGGCUUCUUUUUGUAUUUUUAGUAGAGAGGGGGUUUCACCAUGUUGGCCAGGCUGGUCUCAAACUCCUGACCUCAGGUGGUCCACCCACCUCGGCCUCCCAGUUUUGGGAUUAUAUGCGUGAGCCACUGCACUCAGCCACCAGACUUUUUUUUUUUUCUUUUUACUUUUUUUGAGACAGCAUCUCCCUCUGUCGCCCAGGCUGGAGUGCAAUGGCACAAUCUUGGCUCACUGCGACCUCCGCCUCCCAGGUUCAAGUGAUUCUCCUGUCUCAGCCUCCUGAGUAGCUGGAACUACAGGCGCCCGCCACCACGCCCGGCCAGUUUUUGUGUUUUUAGUGGAUAUGGGGGUUUCACCAUGUCGGUCAGGCUGGUCUCGAACUCCUCACCUCAGGUGAUCUGCCCGACUCAGCCUCCCAAAGUGCUGGGAUUAUAGAUGUGAGCCAUCGUGCCUGGCCUAUUUUGAAAGCAACAUAUAAUCCAACUUUUUCUUUUGUUAUAAAGAGCAAUAUAGGAACAAGGAGUGAAACACCAAGGCAAUUUGACAGUUAAAUGGUAGAAGUAGAUCAGUGUUAAUUUCCUGAUUUUGUAAUUAUACUGUGGUUAUGUAACAGAAUGUUCUUGUUUUAGAAAGUACACAUUGAAUAAUCAAUGGUCAUCUUGUCUGUAACUUAAUUUCAAAUGUUUCAAUAAAAAUAUGUGUAUGUUUGUGAGUGAUAAAACAAAUGUAGUAAUGUGUUAACACUGAAAAACUCUGUGAGAAGAUAUACUGGAAUUCUUUCUAUUAUUAUUUUUAAAUUUUCUUUAAAUCUAAAAUUAUGUCAGAAAGAAAGCUAAGGGCUGAGUACACUAGCUGAUGCCUGUAAUUCCAGCAGUUUGGGAGGCUGAAGCAGGAGGAUUGUUUGAGGCCAGGAGUUUGAGAUCAGCCUGGGUAACAUAGUGAAACUUCAUCUCCAUAAAAUAUUUUAAAAAUUAGCUGGGUGCAGUGGCAUGAACCUGUAGUCCUAGCUAGUUGGGAGGCUGGGGCAAGAGGAUUGCUUAAGCCCAGAAGUUCAAGGCUGCAGUGAGCUAUGAUUGUGCCGCUAUACUCCAGCCUGGGCCACAGAGCAAGACUCUAUCUCAAAUAAAUAAAUAAAUAAAGUUAAAGAAAAUAAAAAGAAAUCUACUACAGCCUCAGCUCUGGGAAUUAAACCAAUCCAGUCUUCCUGAGCUCAGAGGCCAUGCUCUCUAUCCUCAUGCAUCAGCGGGUAUGUGAAUGCCUGUGUUUCCUCAUCUUGACGGAGUUGUUCUUGCCUUAUACCUGAGUCUUCUACUUAUUACCAUGAGGCAGGGGGUUCUAUUUACUUAGAUUUAUAUCUCUCAUGUAAUUUCAGUAACACUGAUGAGCUUUGGUAGACAGUGCAGUACAAAUGUGAAGUCUUGAAUCUCUUAAUUAUCCUUUGUGAACUCAGUUUUCACAUCCAAAAGGAGGUAUAACAAUAUCUACCUCAAGGAUUGUUGUGAGAAAUAAAUGUAAUCAUUAGGGGAAAAUACAUAUAUUUUGAAAGACAUGGUGGUUUUUUAAAACAAUGUUAAUUGUUGCUCCAGACUAAAUGUGUUUCAUCUGCUAUUCCUCACCUCCCCACAAAAUUCAUACAGUAAAACCUUAGUCCUCGAUGUGAUGGUAUUUGCAGGUGGGGCCUUUGGGAAGUAAUUAGGAUUAGAUUAGGUCAUUGGGAUGAGGCCUUCAUAAUGAGAUGAAUGCCCUUAUAAAAAGAGGAAGAAACACGGGAUCCCUCCCUCAGCAAUGUGAGGAUACAGCAAGAAGGUAGCUGUCUGCAAACAAGGAAGUGAGCCCUCACCAGAUACUGGAACUGUGAGAAAUAAAUGUAAUUGUUUAAACCACCCAGUCUACCAGUCUAUGGCAUUUUUGUUGUAGCAUCUCAAACUGACCAUGACAAUUGUGUUUUUCUCUUCCCUUUUGUAUGUACCAUGACAUGUAGUUUACGCACUGAGAGCAUCUAAAGAAUUUGAAUGAGGAGCAAAGCUUUUUCAAAGGUUGGAUUAAACUACAAUUGUCCUCUCCAAAGAAUGUUCAGCUAUCCUUUAUGUACUCUGUUGCAAGUAUUUCAAGAAGGAGGCAAAGAGUUCUAAGAUGCAUUUCACAGCACUCCACAGAAGGAAGGUUCAGAGCCAAUCAUCUGCACCAGUGCCCAACUUAAAAACAUCCUUGUAUCAGUUUUCCCUUAUUUCCUGUUCUCCUCCCUAAACCUUCAGUCCUGUUCCUGGCAAUCACUUCCAGAAUAAACCAUAUACAUGCCUCAGAUUCUGAUCUCAGAGGAUCCCAGACUAAUACAGAGAUACACUAUGCUGAUUGCUUAACCCGCAUUUUCUCAUUUAAUUGAAACAUAUACGUGGUAAGGUAUUUAUUCAUACCUGCAUGAUUUUGUAGAUAAACCUUAGAGAAAUUAAUACUUUUCAGAAGGCAAUUAAAGUAACACAGCAAGCAAUUGAUAAAACCUGGAUUCGCCAAGUUAAACUGGUCUGGUUUCAAAACCUGUAUUGUUUCCUAACAUACCACCUAAAUUCUCAAAUGGUAUUGGAAGGGGUUAAAUGAGAUUAUAAAUGUAAAAUUCUUGGUAUAGUUAAUUCUCAAAAAUAGGCCUUCAAUCUAUAGAAUCCAUUUGUAGAACUAUCUUCAGGAAGGAAAAAUACAUCACCCUCCACCCCACCCUCAAAGAAACAUGGAAAAUUUAAACUAAGACUUCAAAUCUUGAGCUCUGCACAUCUUAGAAUAUUUUGUUUCUAUGAAAAAGAAGCUUUGGAGAAUGUGUAUCAGUCUGAAACACUGUAGUGUGAGCACAGAAAUCAGCCCAUCACAUUAUGCCCCAAAUGCUGAAGUACGGCUGAAUCUGAUUGCCCUGCAUUUUUAAGUACUGCAAAAUUCUGGGACUUGGGAUCAUCUGUUACUACAGACUUGUCAUAUUCCACUGAAAUAAAACAUAUAGUCUAAUUUGCAAAGUUCUCGUGUGGAAAGAGUCCUAAAAUGUAUAUAACCUCUGUCCCAGCAAUUCCAUUAGGAAUUUAUCCAAUCCAAAAUCUAAAAUGCAGAAGAUCUACAUAUUGAAUGCUUAUGGCAGCAUUCUUUAAAAUUAUGAAAAUUGAAAGCAACCAAAAUCCUCAAAAACAGACUAAUGGCUAAGUAGUAUAACCAUACUAUGAAAUGUGGUAAUUGAAUAUUCAAAUUUGUGUUGUAUAAAAAAUUAAUAAUGGUAUAACAUUUGGCUAUAAAAUAGAAUGAAUUCAAUUGUAUUUUUUAAACCAGUACAUCUGCAUAUUUGUGAACCUAAAAGAUAAGACGGUAAAUAUUUAACUGUAUUUUUCUUUAAUUGUUGGGGCUGUGAAUUAUUUUAAUUUUCUUAAUGCUUUUUAAUCUUCUCUGAAAAUUUUAUAAUAAUCUCUAAUAAUAAUUUAUAGCAAAAAAACCCAAAAUUUUAAAGGGUAUUCUUUUUGUAUUUUUAUCAAGAAUAAAAAUAUAUAUCAAU